rnacentral:rRNA from 1 species
UACGGAGGAUGCAAGCGUUAUCCGGAUUCACUGGGUUUAAAGGGUGCGUAGGAGGGCAGGUAAGUCAGUGGUGAAAUCUCCAAGCUUAACUUGGAAACUGCCGUUGAUACUAUCUGUCUUGAAUAUUGUGGAGGUGAGCGGAAUAUGUCAUGUAGCGGUGAAAUGCUUAGAUAUGACAUAGAACACCAAUUGCGAAGGCAGCUCACUACUCAAUCAUUGACUCUGAGGCACGAAAGCGUGGGGAUCAAACAGG